UACAGAGGGUGCGAGCGUUAAUCGGAAUUACUGGGCGUAAAGGGCGCGUAGGUGGCCUGUUAAGUCGAACGUGAAAUCCCCGGGCUCAACCCGGGAACUGCGUCCGAGACUGGCAGGCUCGAAUCCGGGAGAGGGAUGUGGAAUUCCAGGUGUAGCGGUGAAAUGCGUAGAUAUCAGGAGGAACACCGGCGGUGUAGACGGCUUCUGGACCGUAGCUGACGCUGAGACACGAAAGCGUGGGUAGCAAACAGG
rnacentral:rRNA from 1 species